rnacentral:rRNA from 1 species
GACGAACGCUGGCGGCGUGCUUAAUACAUGCAAGUCGAACGGUAAGGCCCUUCGGGGUACACGAGUGGCGAACGGGGGAGUAACACGUGGGUGAUCUGCCCUGCACUUUGGGAUAAGCCUGGGAAACUGGGUCUAAUACCGGAUAGUACCAUGGGCUUCACGGUGGUUGGUGGAACGCUUGUGCGGUGUGGGAUGGGCUCGCGGCCUAUCAGCUUGUUGGUGGGGUAGUGGCCUACAAAGGCGAAGACGGGUAGCCGGCCUGCGAGGGUGACCGGCCACACAGGGCCUGAGAUACGGCCCAGACUCCUACGGGAGGCAGCAGUGGGGAAUAUUGCACAAUGGGCGCAAGCGUGAUGCAGCGACGCCGCGUGAGGGAUGACGGCCUUCGGGUUGUAAACCUCUUUCAGUAGGGACGAAGCGCAAGUGACGGUACCUACAGAAGAAGGACCGGCCAACUACGUGCCAGCAGCCGCGGUAA